AAGCCGGGUGCGCGGCUCAGCCGCCUGCCUCCGCGCCUCCUCUGCCUCCUCUGCUCCGCCUUCGCUCUGCCUGCCUGUGUCAGCCGAGGAGCUCAUCAGUAUGGACAGCGCCGAGAGGCUCCGCGAGGCCGGCCACAUCCGGCCUCCAGCUUUCCCCGCCGAGGCCCUCCCCGGACUCUGAGAGCUCCGCGGCGGCAGCCCGCCGUUGCAAUGCCUGAUGCCGCUGUUUUCGCUUGCACGCGGAAGGGCCGGCUACCAGCCUAGAUCAGGGUGGUUUCAGUGUUUUUACUUCAUGUUGGUGAUUCACAUAUUUUAUCAGGAUUUGCCUGGAUAAGGAUUUUUCAGGAAUUAUACCUUAUAUGUGAAGAGGAAAUGGCUUCAGAAAGAUUAACAAACUCUUCCAAAUCACAGCCAGGAUGUGGUGGGACAAGGAUUCAGGCACAGUUACUUCCAAGCAAUUGAUGGUCUAGAGGCAGAUGAUUCCCCUUCCGAUGUAUUGUCAGAAGGUAAAAAACAGACUAACACUACAUCACAAUGGCUAUGUCAUUUACCUCAUUCCAACUCAUCAUGUAGAUAGUUUAUCAUCUCCCAUCCUAACAGGAGAGGGGUGAUACAGAAGCUGUGCUGAAGGAUAAGAUUGACUCAGUCGUGGCAGAAGUAUGUGGGCAAAGAGCUUGAAGCAUUGGAGGAUCUGCACAAAGGCCUGAGCAACUCAAUAACAACGAACAGCUGAAGGAUGCUAAAAAUGGGAGAAGCUGGUAAACAAUGCAGAGCAUUGAAACUCAUGUUUAAACACUCCAGUAGAGACCUAAUGAUUCAUUCUGCUUAAGUGAAAAUGCCGUUUUGUAAAAUGACUCUCUAGUAAUAUAG